GGAUACACGAGCCUGGUACCAAAACAAAAUAAUAUUGCGCUGUAGUUUUGGCUAGCCAUGGCUACUGUUUGGCCUUCGACUCUUUCUUGAGGCCACUCCGGAGUUUCGUUCUUCUUAUAUUGGCAUGUCCCCUUUGGAUUUGGAUUUUUGGAACCUUGAUGGUUUCCCUUCCUUUCGUUUAACACCCCGUAUUUUAAUACUUCAUUUCUAUGUGAAGUAGAUUCUUCAUUUCUAAAGAUCUUUAUCUUUUCUAUAUUUUAGACAACGUUUGCAAAAGCGCCUGAACUUUAUGUUUCUGAGCAAUUGGUUCUUUUCGCCUGUCCCCCCCAACGUUUGGAACUCCUAAAGGCUGUGGCCUUCCGGCUGCGGAUAUUGGGGGUAAAAGCCCUUCGCAUACCAUCUACGUAUUACCGUUGGCCGGUUCUGAUGCGUCCAAGUGAGGAUAUGACAGUCUAUACGUCCGCGGGGCAGGUUUAAACAAAAGGAACGGAAGCAACAGCAGCAGCGCCGCCACGUCGGCACGC
rnacentral:sRNA from 2 species